UAAAAGUCGUAACAAGGUCUCCGUUGGUGAACCAGCGGAGGGAUCAUUACCGAGUUUACAACUCCCAAACCCCAGUGUGAACCUCUACCUAAUCGUUGCCUCGGCGGGAUCGCCCCGGCGCGCCCCCUCCAGGGCGUCCGGAUCACACGGCGCCCGCCGCAGGACCCCCCAAACUCUCUUGCAUCUCCGGCGUCGUUUUCUUCUGAGUGGACUUUUUCCUCGCGAGAGCGGGGUGAAAAUGAAUCAAAACUUUCAACAACGGAUCUCUUGGCUCUGGCAUCGAUGAAGAACGCAGCGAAAUGCGAUAAGUAAUGUGAAUUGCAGAAUUCAGUGAAUCAUCGAAUCUUUGAACGCACAUUGCGCCCGCCAGUAUUCUGGCGGGCAUGCCUGUCCGAGCGUCAUUUCGACCCUCAGGCCCCCCUUAGGGGGACUGGUGUUGGGGGACGGCACCGCUGCGGGAGAUCUCCUCCCGCCGCCGCCGCCCCCGAAAUGCAGUGGCGGCCUCGCCGCAGCGACCUCCGCGUAGUAGCACAAACCUCGCGGCCUGGGAAGCUGGGCGCGGCCACGCCGUAAAACACCCCCCACGCGGAAACUCUUCGCACCUAGAGUUGACCUCGGAUCAGGUAG
rnacentral:rRNA from 1 species